GUAGAAUCCAUAACUUGACCACAAGUCUUGCUGAAGAUUCUUCUCCCUGUCUGCAAGUCGAGAAACAUAAUGAGAGAAAACUCGUACCUGUACUAAAGAGCUUUUGCUCUGUAAUCUAUUCCAGAGUCCAGAGUGCACACAUUGCAAUGAUCUUUCAAUACUUGAAU